CAGCGCCGCAAGUGGGGACCUCUUUUAUUGAGCCUAAAGCGUCCGUAGCCGGACUAGUAAACCCUUGGGUAAAUUGGGCAGCUUAACUGUCCAAAUUCCGAGGGGACUGCUAGUCUUGGGACCGGGAGAGGUCAGAGGUACUCAAGGGGUAGGGGCUAAAUCCUGUAAUCCUUUGGGGACCACCAGUGGCGAAGGCGUCUGACUAGAACGGAUCCGACGGUAAGGGACGAAACCCUGGGGCGCGAACCGGAUUAGAUACCCGAGUAGUCC
rnacentral:rRNA from 1 species